CGUGCUCCGCUUUUUAAAUUCUGUUCGGCCUGUUUAGUGUUCUGUAUAGUCUUAAGUGUGUCUAAAUGUUAUGUAUAAUUUUAGUAAUAUCAAAUGUGGUCCCACUAUGUUAAACUUCUGGGCUUAACUGACAAGUAAACUACUGCCGAAAAUCAUCACCACCACAAAAAUUACGCUGGGCGACCCGAGGAGGAAGAGGAGAGAAGUUCAGUGACAGCGUGACUGGGUCAUGGAUGGCGCGCGUCCCGACGCGUACGCGAUGCCUUCCCCCACUACUGUUGUAACACGUUUUUAAAUAAGGUGCGACCGUGGUACGCUCAUUCGCUGUCUACGCGUGUUUGCAGCAUGUUCGGUAGUUUAGACCCAACAGGGCUUUACUAAGCGCUCAUUCUGUCAUCUUUCGAUCGCGCUCUUCAUAGAUACAUAAAUUUAUAUUUUUUUGUCCUGCUUGCCAUCAGGAACAAUUUUGAUUUUUCAAAACAAUCGUCACAAUGAAUAGCAAAAGUUUAGAUCCCACUGGCCAAUAUUAAGGCUUGGGGUAAAAGUGAUUAUCAAGUGAACUUUUGUCAAGAAAAGACUAUUGCAAAAGUCAUGGCGAAAGUUGGUGGUAAAGGGUUAGAUCCAACGGGACUAUACUGAUGUGGCACCAUCGGCAAAAAGGCGACGGUGGGCGCCCGGAAACAUCCAGUUGUCGGCGCAAAAGACUUCGAUGAAGGGAACAAAGAGCCAAAAGUAACUACACUGCCACACAAGUUACCGAUUUAAUCUGGAUGUUUGAAGACUGAUGUUUUGUUGAUUUUAUAAUUUAUAAGAUUGUUUUUGAUUAAAUUAUAUGUGUAGGUUAAGUUCCUUUUACGAUUAAGCAUGCAACACCUAAUAAUGUCGUUGACUUAUCUAUGUCCUUGUAAAUACGUUAGGCUUAAAUAUCCUCUUAAAGUAUUUCUAAAGCUUAGUACUUAAAUUAAUAUUUUAUCACUUUUUUAAAUAAAUGUUUAAAUUA